AGAUGCUGUUUCCUUUGCCCAGCACACCUGUCACUCACCUCAACCCUUUCUCUCUUUUCCCCAUCUUUCUGUGGCUAGCUCCUCCUCAUUCUUUAGGUCUCAGUGUAGAUAGCACCACUAUCAGGAAGGAGUCCAGACACUGCCAGGCCUAAGAAAUGUAAAUUAAAUGCUCUCAAGGGAUGAGAGACACUGGAAGCUGGGACGCUCUUGGAACUCUGUUGCCAUCAUCAAGGUGAGAAAACUCAGGGCCUGGUUCAGAGUCCAUGGAGGACUCAGGUAUUUGAGGUUUAAGUGGUUGGUACGUAAUGUCUCCAUUUUCCACCUUAAUAUAAAACGUGUCUCUUUUUCUCAUCCAAGUUUUGGACCAGCGGAGACAAAGAAAUGAGGCAGAUAGCAAAACUCACCUUUAUAACUGAUUGAAAAAAAACAUGGUGGACUGACUCACCACCCAACAUAAUUAUCGAUGGAAAACACAGGUCUCUCACUCCUGGGGACAUAGCCCUGGGAAAUGUACAGAAAGCAGCAGGUGCAUGGGGUGCUUUCUGCAUCCUGGGGCCAAGAGUGACAGCCAGAGCCUAGAGAGGCCAGGAGUGUUUGUUUAAUAGGGUUUCUGCCCCAAGAAAGAAAACACCAGCAAUGUAGAGAAAGUGUUCCCCCAAUGGCAUGUUCUAUUUCUUUUUUUCUACUUAGGCUUCCAGAUACAGCCCUCUAGGUCAUCCAGAGGUGCCAGCCAGCCCUCACCAGUGGUCAGCUUUUCCUCAGUGGAGUGGUAGGUGAGCCAGUGGAGCUUGCUCUGAAGAUACUAGAGGGAGCCAAAGCUGUCUGGCCCUUCAGUGUGACUCAGUUUCCAGACUCUUUCUCUUUAGACAUAAAUGAAGAACAAGUCAACCUUGAUGCCUUUGAGGGUUGGUUCAGCGGAUGAUGUGUUGUGGGGUUUUCCCACAGGUCAGCAGUCCAACUACCAGGGCCAGAGCCCCAUCAAAGAAUCUUCAGUGCCAGCCAGAAAGAAUGAUGAACUCCUCGUGUAAAGGGAGUUUGGGGCAACCAGUCAAACCAUGGCCUCAUGGGAAGCAGCUGACUAGGCAAUGAGAGAGGAAUACAAAAGACAAGGCACUGCGAAGCCAAGUCUGGUUGGGGAGAAGAAACCAAUAUGCCUGAAACAGGGAACCAGAAAGGACUCAGACAAAACUGCUGACAAGUAUGGGGUUUCUUGGGGUAGGUGGUGAAAAUAUUCCAAAAUAAGAUUAUAGCGAUGUUUUAAUAAUCCCCUGGAUAUAAUAAAAAAACAUCGAAUUGUACAC
ensembl:lncRNA LINC01704 long intergenic non-protein coding RNA 1704